rnacentral:lncRNA from 1 species
GGCCAAUCCACUCAUUGCCAAUUGGUUUUGAGUUGGAAGCCCAUGAAACUUAACAUGGUAUCAGAGCCCGAUCCAUAUGCUGACCCAAUAAUCCGGCCCGGAAUGUGCCCCGAUCACCCCCACUAAUUGAUAGCCCAAAGGAAGGCUCAAUUCUGUCGAGAUAGCUAGAAGAGCAUUAUCUCGAUGGGGCGUGAUGGUUUCUGUCGAGAUUAAUGGCUAGAAGAGCCAUUAUCUCGAGGGGGCGUGUGGAGAAAGAUCCCACAUUGGAAAGAUGGGAAGGAACUUGAGUAGUAUAUAAGGGACUUGGGCCAAUCCACUCAUUGCCAAUUGGUUUUGAGUUGGAAGCCCAU